UGUGGAAAAGCGUUGGUCGGUAAGGGCCCGAUAAAAUGAGACCUCCUCUCCUCCGGGAGAGGGAUAGAGUGCGUCCGUCUUCGUUCCUUGCCCCCCUUCCUUCAGAAGAGCGAGGCCGCGGUCGCGGAGGAGGCUUUACGAACAAACGAGCCAUUAGUCCCCAAAAGCCAACACACAAACCCAGGCGAUAGCGAGCGCGCCCGCGAAGGCUACGACGCGAGAGCGCGCGAGGUGUGGAGCCCCCAAUCCCGGAAGCUUCCUUGGCCGCGCGCAGGGCGCGGGAGUGGGAGCUCGCCGCCGGUUACCGAGCCCUCUCCGCCGCGGAUCUCCCGAUCUGAGACGCCACUCGUCAAUUCCCCGCAGGGUUUUGCGGUGCCAGCGACGGACAUGAGCGUGGAGAGCCCAGGGGAGCUAGGGUUCUGAAGCGCACCGUGGGGCACAGCGUGGCGAACGACGGCCCCCGACAUCCUGCUAGGUUUUCCAUGGGAGAUGGGGGAGUCGCGUGCGCCGUCCGCUCAGUCGAGAGCUUCCGUGCCGGCGCCCUCGUGAGGAGAGGAGGAGCGGGAGAAGCGAUGCCGGACAAGGGGGAGAGGGCCCAUGGCCACCGCCACCAGCACCAGCACUGGAAGAACCAGCAGUCGGCGACAGCUGCUGACCUGGAGGAGGGGGAGCUGCUUAAUGGGGAGGCCGGGACCAAUGGGUUGCCCGAGAGGAGCAUGCCACCUAAGAAGUGGAGGAAGGUGCUGGCAGCCUCCGCAGCUGCUGUGGAGGUGGAGCCUGGGGAGAUUGUGAGUACAAAGCAAGCAGUGCCAUUGAAGAAGGAAAGAAGAAACGGGGACGUUGAGAAGGUAGAGCUGCUGCCAGAGAGGCAGAGGAAGGAAAAGUCUUCUGGGAAGAGCACCAGGAAGUCUAUCAAGGAUGAUGUGGAGCCAGGGGAGAUUGCACUGCCAGGAAAAAGGCGGGAUGCCAAGUCCCAACUGGCCCAUGAUAACAGCAGGAGGCCAAGUUCGUCUGCCCAGAAAGGCUCCUUGCGGGAUUCUGAUGAAGAACCUGGUGAAAUUAAGCCAGAGAGCGGCAUCAGUGGCAGUGUAAGGAAGAACCGGCCAACAGAGCCUCAUAGCAGUAACCACAAGCACCACACUGACACCUCUGACCAGUCAGGAUCAAAACAUCGCAGGAAGGGAGAAGGAAAGAGUUCAUCUGCUGCCAGACAUUUGUCUGGGAGAAUUCGUGAGGUCUCGCCACCAACACGGGAUCGGCGUGAUAAGCACGAGAGGAGCCCAGGCAUCUUGGGCCGUUUUCCUCAUGACCGUUUUCGUCAUGACAGGUAUGACAGGAGCCCGAGCCGCUUGGAGCGUUCCCCACAUCGCACUCGCCACUAUGAUAGCAGAGACCGCAGUCCAUAUAUUUCACCUCGACAUAGAGCUCGUCCGCCCCAAUUCAGGGAUAACACACCAAGUCGUGUUGAUAAUUCCCCUCGUGGGAGGGUCCAGCAUGAAGAUAUCAGAGACCGUAGCCCAUUUCGUCAUGACAGGUCGCCUUCUGAACGUUGUCGUCCUACUGACACGCAUGAAGCAAGCAAGAAGAGCAGAAGUAGCAACAACUCAGAGAAGUCACAUCACAAAAGCAAAUCAGCGAAGCAAUCUUCAAAAAUCAAGAGUGGUAGCAAUGGGAAGAAUGAGGAGAAAAUCUCCAAAGAAAAGCACACUGAAAGCAGUCAGUACACUGAACUGCCACCACCACCUCCUCUUCCUCUACCACCGCCACCACCACCGCCGCCGCCACCGCCACCCCUGCCGCCUGCUGUACCACCUCCAUUGCCUCCAUCACCAGAACCUGAGCCACCUGGAGUUCUAGCCGAGGAUAUGAUAGAAGACAUGGAUAUCUGUGACACCCCACCUCACACUAGUGCAGUACCUGAACCCACAGAACCAAUUUGUGAUAUAGGGAGGUGGUUUUACCUUGAUCACUUCGGUAUCGAGCAAGGACCUUCCAAACUUGCUGAGCUGAAGAAGCUGGUGCAAGAUGGAUAUCUUCUUUCUGACCAUCUGAUAAAACAUGCUGAUAGCAACCGAUGGGUGACUGUAGAGAAUGCAGCUUCACCACUGGUGCCAUCUGAUUUCCCCUCUUUAUAUUCGGACACUUCAACACAGUUGGUCAACCCACCAGAAGCCCCAGGAAAUUUGCUCGAUGAAGCUCUAGAGGAGGCUUCUAACUUGGCAUCAGGAGCUGAGGAUAAACAAAUGGAGGAAACGUCUGCAGAAGAUAGUGAAGAAUUCUGCAUUGAUGAUAGGGUUGAAGCACUGAUGGAUGGAUCAAUUUUGGUGCAUGGCCAGGAGCUCGAGAUCAUUGGAGAGCUUUUAGGUGCAGAUUUUCAGCCUGCUGAUUGGCAAAGAUGGAGUCGUCGUGAAGAUUUUACUAGGCUCAAUGUGCACACUGAAGUAAACAAUGAAAUCAAUGGAGGCACAGAAAAUAGAGCAACAGAUGCUUAUGGUCUUGUUUCUGUGGAGAAGAACUUUCAUCAUAACGCUGAGUCUAGCGAAUGGUUUUCUGGUAGAUGGUCUUGCAAAGGUGGUGACUGGAGGAGAAAUGACGAACUAAGCCAAGAUACUCCAUUCAGGAAAAAACUUGUUCUCAAUGAAGGGUAUCCUCUGUGUCAAAUGCCAAAAGGUAGCUGUGAGGAUCCACGCCGGCCCUGCAAGGAUGAGUUGUACUACCCUGUACGUGCUAAAAAGUAUGAACUGCCAUUGUGGGCAUUCUCAUUGACAGAAGAAGAUAUUGAUAGUGUUAAUGACACCACUAAAAGCGGUGUUGUGCCUGGGAGGCCAGGUCAGACCAGACAGCCUUCUAGGGGAGUGAAGGGCAUGAUGCUUUCAGUGGUUAGGAUAAAUUCUCGUGUUGUUAAAGAUCAAUCAUCUGUUGAACCCCAUACAAAACCCAGAGGAACUGAUCGACCACUGUCGAGGUCUUCACGCUCCCAUUCAAUUGGAGCUGAGAGAAGUUCUGUCCAUGAAGGUUCGUCUCAUUUCAGGAAGCACCAUGACCAUGAUUCACAAAGUUCGCACAAGUCCAAGCCUGUUCCAAACAUUCCAAAGGACCGUGUAUGCACUGUUGAUGAGCUGUCAGUUUAUCGGGGUGACUGGUAUUACCUUGAUGGCACUGGGCAUGAGCAUGGUCCAUUUUCUUAUUCUGAAUUGCAAGAAUUAGUUAAAAAUGGCACUAUCAUUGAACAAAGUAGUGUGUUCCGUAAGAUUGAUAACACAUGGUUUCCAGUUCUUAAGGAUUUAAAACCUGGAAGCUCUGUUCCCAGUGCAGCACGAAGCUCAAGUUUUACUGCUGCUCUUAUGCUCCCAGACCAAUAUAAUUUUGGUGUGAACCAAGGAUCAGGUAGCUUCAAUCAGUUGCACCCCCAGUUUGUGGGUUAUACACGUGGUAAAUUACAUGAACUAGUCAUGAAAUAUUUCAAGAGCAGGGAACUUACUUUAGCUAUAAAUGAGGUCUUGGAUCCCUGGAUCUCAGCAAAGCAGCCAAAAAAAGAGUUUGAAGCAUACUUCUCCCACAAUUCAGCAUCUAGAAAUUUGCUGCCAGAAGAUGGUGGGUCUGCAAAAAAGGCAAAGUUGCUACCUGAUCAGAGUGAUGAAGAUAUUCAUUUGUCACAAGACAUUCUUGCCAGUCGGAAGGAGGACAUCUGUUUUGACGAGCUAUGUGAUGCAGAACCUUCUGUUGAUAAUGAUUCUCUGAAUCCCGGAGCAGGAAAUGAAACCUGGGGUCUACUAAACGGCCAUGUGUUAGCAAGAAUCUUCCAUUUUAUGAGGGCAGAUGUGAAAGCACUUAUUUCUUCUGCAGCUACCUGUAGGAGCUGGAAUGCUGCUGUGAAGUAUUACAGAAACAUGUGUAGAUUCAUUGAUCUGUCUUCUGUUGGCCCUCUUUGCACUGAUUCUGUGUUUUGUGAUAUUAUGGCUGGUUAUGAGAAGCAAAAUAUUAGGACCCUUAUUUUAGCUGGUUGUUCGAAUCUUAGUUCGCAUGCCCUUGGCAGAGUACUUGAGCAGCUUCCACAAAUAUCUUAUGUUGACAUCCAUGGUUGCGGUCAUCUAGGGGAUCUGAAAAAUAAAUUUCAGCAUGUAAAAUGGAUCAGGAGCUCAUUGAAUCCAGAGGAGUCAUAUCGGAAAAUUAAAACCUUGAAGCAGAUAGGUGAUGGGAACAACUACGCAUCCAAAGUUGCAAGGAACUUCACCAAUCAUCUGGAUGGUUCUGAUGAGCUUGAUGGGUAUUUUGCUGAUAUUUCAAAUAGAGAGAAUGCUAACCUUUCAUUUGGACAAGGUUUCUAUAAACGAUCAAAAUUGCUUGAUGCUAGAAAGUCCUCUGCGGUUUUGUCGAGGGAUGCAGAAAUGAGGCGGUUGAUGCAGAGACAGGCAGAGACCAGUUACAGAAAGAUGGAAGAGUUCAUCAUAAACAGACUGAGAGAAAUUAUGAGGAGCAACAGAUUUGAUUUUUUCAUUCCAAAGGUUUCCAAGAUUGAAGGUAGGCUAAAAAACGGGUAUUAUGCUCGCCAUGGCUUUCGUACCAUCAAGCAUGACAUCCGUACCAUGUGCCAAGAUGCAUUGAGAUAUAAAGAUGGCAAUGAUUCGGGAGAUAUAAAGCAAAUUGUUGUCUCCUUCAUACAGCUAGCAAAGAGACUAGGGAACCCAAGGUACAUUUCUGAUAGAUAUGGAGCAGGAGCCCAGGACAGCCUGGACAUUAAUCAAUAUUCAUUUGAUACUAAACUCAAAAAGAAGCAAAAUAAAAUAAGAGGAGCAAAUUCAUUGGCUGCUGGAGCAGAUAAUUCAUCUCGUGCAUUUGACCUUGAAAUCAAAAGAAGCCUAUCUAAAUUAAAGAAAAAGGAUGUCUACUCUGGUAGCGAAACAUCUGAUGAUGAUGAUGGCUACUCUGAAGUUGAUGAAACUGAGAGCGAAACUACUGUUUCUGAUACUGAGAGUGACCUUGAUGUAAAUUCUGGAGCCUGGGAUUUAAAAGGAAACAGUCUAAAGUUAAUUGAACCUGGGGAAUCUGUGACCGAUGAUCGUAUAUUGGGUGCCCGCAUGACAAAGGCCAGCCUUGUUCCUCCAGUUACUAGGAAGUAUGAAGUUAUCGAGGAGUACCUUAUUGUAGCAGAUUUGGAGGAAGUACAGCGAAAAAUGAGAGUUGCUUUACCUGAUGACUAUUCUGAGAAGUUGCUGUCACAGAAGAAUGGCACCGAAAACUUGGAACUUCCAGAGGUUAAGGAUUAUCAACCCCGAAAAGUAGCAGGAGAUGAAAUUCUUGAGCAAGAAGUAUAUGGCAUAGAUCCAUACACACACAAUCUACUGAGUGACAUUAUGCCUGCUGAUCUUGAGUUGUCACCUACUGACAAGCAUAUCUUUAUUGAGGAGUUGCUUCUGAAUACAUUGAAUAAGCAAGUUAGGCAUUUCACUGGUUCGGGAAAUACCCCUAUGACUUACAACCUUAGGCCUGUCAUUGAAGAGAUCCAAAGGUCUGCAGAGGAUAAUGGUGAUAGACGAACUUCAAAGAUGUGCUUGGGGAUGCUAAAGACCAUGAGAAAUCGCUCUGAACAGAACUUCGUUGCUUAUAGAAAGGGUCUCGGUGUUGUUUGCAACAAAAAAGGUGGAUUUGGUGUAGAUGACUUUGUUGUAGAGUUCUUUGGGGAGGUUUACCCUUCUUGGAGAUGGUAUGAAAAGCAAGAUGGUAUUAAACAUAUACAAAACAACAGUGAAGAUCAAGCUCCUGAGUUUUACAACAUUAUGUUAGAAAGGCCAAAGGGAGACGGAGAUGGAUAUGACUUGGUUUUUGUUGAUGCGAUGCACAAGGCCAACUACGCUAGUAGAAUCUGCCACUCCUGCAACCCAAACUGCGAAGCAAAAUUAUUAUAUGUACUCUUUCAAGAUACUUGGCAUUCCAUAAAUAGUGAUAUUAUUAUAUUUCACGGGUCUGGAAAUCAGUAUGACUGAGCAUUGAGCAAUAUAAUAUAGCUGUUCUCGCAUAUCCACCUUCAUUCUAUUUGAUGGAGCACAGUGCAAUUCUGAGUUGGGGCUUAUGUAUCAAUCAAGAUGCUUUGACAAACUUCAGUAUGUGUUUGCUUGGAUAUGCUCAUGCAUUUCUAUGCUAAUUAAAUCGAUACUGAACCGUUGAUAAUUUGAAUACAUAGUGACAGCAGUGAAUGGUAAAUACCAGAUUGGAGUUUACACACUUCGACCAAUUGCAGAAGGCGAGGAAAUCACUUUUGAUUACAAUUCUGUAACUGAGAGCAAAGAAGAGCAUGAAGCAUCAGUCUGCCUCUGUGGAAGUCAAGUAUGCCGUGGCAGCUAUUUGAAUUUUUCUGGUGAAGGAGCCUUUGAGAAGGUAUUAAUGGAAUUCCAUGGUGUGCUCGAUAGGCAUAGCCUGCUGCUACAGGCUUGUGAAACAGACUCUGUCUCUCAACAAGACUUAAUUGACUUGGGUAGAGCUGGUCUUGGUACCUGUUUGCUUGCUGGUUUGCCUGGAUGGCUUGUUGCUUACACAGCUCACCUGGUGCGGUUUAUAUACCUUGAGAGACAGAAACUCCCUGAUGAGAUCUUAAGGCACAAUGUGGAUGAGAAGCGCCAGUUCCUUAUAGAAAUAAACAUGGAUUCUGAGAAGAAUGAUGCUGAGGUUCAGGCAGAGGGAGUAUUAAAUUCAAGAUUACAACAAAUAGUGCAUACACUUGACAAGGUGAGAUAUGUUAUGAGAUGCAUAUUUGGAGACCCAAAGAAUGCUCCUCCUCCUCUUGUAAGGUUGUCUGGGAAAAGUCUGGUAUCUGCCAUCUGGAAAGGGGACAGUUCAAUAGUUGCUGAACUCAUUCAGUCGAUGGAACCUCAUGUUGAAGAAGAGGUACUUAGUGAUCUGAAGGCCAAAAUCCGUGCUCAUGAUCCGUCAGAGUCUGAAGAUAUUGAGGGAGGCAUCCGGAAUUCUCUCUUGUGGCUGCGUGAUGAAUUGCGAACUCUUUCAUGCACUUACAAGUGCCGUCAUGAUGCUGCUGCAGAUUUGAUUCAUUUGUAUGCUUAUACAAAGUGCUUCUUCCGAGUCCGGGAUUAUAAGACAGUAAAAUCUCCACCAGUUCAUAUCAGUCCGCUUGACUUAGGCCCCAAAUAUGCUGAUAAACUGGGACCAGGCUUUCAGGAGUACUGCAAGACAUACCCAGAAAAUUAUUGCUUAGCCCAGCUUAUCUAUUGGUAUAGCCAGAAUUCAGAACCUGAAUCUAGAUUAACAAGAGCUAGAAAAGGUUGCAUGUCGUUGCCAGAUGUCUCAUCCUUCUAUGUGAAGUCUGCAAAACCAUCACAAGAGCGAGCUUAUGGAAACAGAACUGUGAGAUUCAUGUUAUCGCGCAUGGAAAAGCAGGCACAAAGACCAUGGCCAAAGGAUAGGAUAUGGGUGUUCAAGAGUGAUCCGAGAUUCUUUGGUAGUCCAAUGAUGGACACCGUGUUGAAUAAUUCCCCGCUUGACAAGGAGAUGGUGCACUGGCUCAAGACUAGACCAAAUGUUUUCCUAGGCUAGUAAAAAAGGUUUGUAGGCAGAUAAGGUGGUAUUUGGUUCUUUCUCCUUUUUGGAGAUUUUAGUCUACAUGAUUCUUUUUCCGACUCACACCUUGGCUACCUGAUCAUGGGGAGUUUAGCUUUUAGAUAGCAGGGUAGUCUCACCACCCCCAUCUGUACAUUCCUCUCUCCCUACUUUCCUUGUAGAGAUGUAUCUGGUUAAUAACUGAUAGAUUCGUCAUUGAUUUGAUGUAGUGAAUUUUCCCCAUAGGAAUGCUCCCUCUUUUGUUUCAUGUAAAUGCAGAACAAUUUCAAUCUUGAAUUCAGUAAUGUGUUACAGGCAUGUUGCAUUUCUGUGGUUCA